rnacentral:rRNA from 1 species
AUACGGAGGGUGCAAGCGUUGUUCGGAAUUAUUGGGCGUAAAGCGGGUGUAGGCGGUCAAGUAAGUCGGAUGUGAAAUCCCUGGGCCCAACCCAGGAACUGCAUUCGAAACUACUAGACUAGAGUCUCGGAGAGGGUGGCGGAAUUCCCGGUGUAGAGGUGAAAUUCGUAGAUAUCGGGAGGAACACCAGUGGCGAAGGCGGCCACCUGGACGAUGACUGACGCUCAGACCCGAAAGCGUGGGGAGCAAACAGGAUUAGAAACCCCAGUAGUCC